rnacentral:rRNA from 1 species
GACGAACGCUGGCGGCGUGCUUAACACAUGCAAGUCGAACGAGGUCCACUGCGUAGCAAUACAAGGGAAGACCUAGUGGCGAACGGGUGCGUAACACGUGAGGAACUUGUCCCGGUCUCUGGGAUAACAGUUGGAAACGACUGCUAAUACCGGAUGACGUCGGAAUCUCGCAUGGGAUACUGACGAAAGGGUUACUGGAUCGGGAGAGCCUCGCGGCCUAUCAGCUUGUUGGUGAGGUAACGGCUCACCAAGGCAUCGACGGGUAGCUGGUCUGAGAGGAUGAUCAGCCACACUGGGACUGAGACACGGCCCAGACUCCUACGGGAGGCAGCAGUGGGGAAUCUUGCGCAAUGGGCGAAAGCCUGACGCAGCAACGCCGCGUGCGGGAAGAAGGCCCUCGGGUUGUAAACCGCUUUCAGUAGGAACGAAAAUGACGGUACCUGCAGAAGAAGGUGCGGCCAACUACGUGCCAGCAGCCGCGGUAAU